rnacentral:lncRNA from 1 species
AUUUUUUGCCUUUUUGCCAUUUCUUGGGCUGCUCCCACAGUAUAUGGAGGUUCCCAGGCUAGGGGUCAAAUCGGAACUGUAGCCACUGGCCUGCACCACAGCCCCAGCAAUGUGGGAUCCGAGCCCGCGUCUGCGACCUACACCACAGCCCACGGCAACGCCAGAUCCUUAACCCACUGAGCGAGGCCAGGAUCAAACCCGCAACCUCAUGGUUCCUAGUUGGAUUCGUUAACCACUGCGCCACAACGGGAACGCCUUGCUUAAUUUCUUUAACCAGGAGAGAUGCUCGUGUGUAAAGGCUUUGCUUUGCAGCUCUCUCUACACCCUGCUUCCAGCGCAGUGAGGCAGAAGAGUGUCAGCUCUGCGAGCUGACAGACACGGGUCCCAAACCAUGGUUCGGUCUCUCCUGGCUGCACAACCUCAGGCAGAUUCCUGAAUCUCUCGGAGCCCGGGUCCUCCUUUGAAAAUUACAUAAGACACCGUGGUCGUUGCAGAGUGUCUGACACAAGGUCCGAACCAUAUGUGCAGUUCCUUCUUCCGUCUUCAAUUUGUCAACAGUUUUUGCUUCGAGACCCCUUUCCCAAGCCCUAGAACCGACACAGAAAGUAGGCCCCCUCCUCCCCGACCACGGUGUGAAGCGGAGGAAAUACCCAUUUGGGGAAGUGAGUGUCCAAGUGUCUCUAAGGCUGAUUCCCAGAUGCUCCCGCCCCACAUCCACCCACAGGGAAAAGGAAGAGAAACCUCUUCCCACAGCAGCGCUUUCUUCAUUUGCCGCAGAAAAAGGAUCGCGGUUCCCAGAGCAAGUGCAACCCAGCCGAGCUGGGAGGCUCUCGGCCACCAAGAGAGCACUUCCGGCACUUCAACAGGCCAGGCCUCGGCCUUCCUCCUUACUGCUUGUCUGCAACCUACUAUUUUGCGAUUCCCAAAGACAUUCCUAGUUUCCCAAAACAGAACCACUUAUUAUUUCAGUCUGCGUUACUACCUUGGAAACCAGAGACAUUUGUUACAUCGCCCUUUACAAGUGCACUGAGCAACCGCUGCGCCAGGACUGAUGUUGGAUUCUCUUUGUGAUGGUGUUUCCCUCUGCAACAUUUGAAGAACUGUAAAGUUUCACUUUUCCCACGAGAUAGCCAGUGACCACGUAAGCGAGCUGCUAACCGAAAGGCUGGACAAGAAGAAGCGGGAAAAAGAAUGUUCCCAGGGAGAUACGACUUACCGCACCCAUUUGCCUGGAAGCCUUGUGACACGGUAAGGACGAAUCUUUCCCUCCUGGAGAGAUCGGCCCUCCUGAAACACGAAGAUACCAAGGAAUCAACACACCGUGGGAUCAACAUUGGCAAGUGGGCAUAACAGGAAAUUCAAAAGAAUACACUGUCCCGCUGUGUCCUCUUCUUUAAGGGGCUAAGAAUUCAGCAUCGCCGCAGCCGGGGCUCGUGGCUCAGAUUCAGUCCCUGGGAACGUCCAUAUGUUGCUCCUGUGGCCAUUUAACAAAGCAGCAGCAGCAGCAGCACACUAUUUAGAUAUUAGUGGGGAAAGCUAAAUGGAACUUGGUUUUCAAAAGUUACCUUACGGUUUCUAACGCGGAGACCCCAGAGAGUGGCAGGAAAUAGGUGUGAAACGCUGACCAUAGAUACAGAGUCCACAGUCUUUAUUGUAAGCAACGGCCUAAGAGUGAGAGGCCCUCACAUUUAGUUAUGAAAGGAAAAAAAGAAAAGAAAAGCUUUCUCCAAAGAAUUAAUCGUGGCUACUGAGGUGACUACAGGAUUCUGACUAUGAGAAAGACAGGAAAGUAUUAGCAGACAACGGAGACCUGGGAUGAGAAAAGAAAGGGCUCUUUGAGAAACUUAAAAAUAUCCCCCAUCUUGUUAAUGACUGCCCAAGAAUCUUCCUCUUUCACACUCCAGGGGUGAAUGAUCAUUCUUUCUCUCUCUCUCUUUUUUUUUUUUUUUUUGUCUUUUUGCCAUUUCUUGGGCCGCUCCCAUGGCAUAUGGAAGUUCCCAGGCUAGGGGUCCAAUGGGAGCCUACACCACAGCCACAGCAACUCGGGAUCCGAGCCGCGUCUGCAACCUACAC